GGCGGACGGGUGAGUAAUGCAUAGGUAACGUGCCCCUUAGUCUGGGAUAGCCACUGGAAACGGUGAAUAAUACCGGAUACUCCUUCUCACUUAAUGUGAGUCGGGAAAGUUUUUCGCUAAGGGAUCGGCCUAUGUCCUAUCAGGUAGUUGGUGAGGUAAGAGCUCACCAAGCCUAUGACGGGUAGCGGGUCUGAGAGGAUGAUCCGCCACACUGGUACUGAGACACGGACCAGACUCCUACGGGAGGCAGCAGUGGGGAAUAUUGCACAAUGGACGAAAGUCUGAUGCAGCAACGCCGCGUGGAGGAUGACACAUUUCGGUGCGUAAACUCCUUUUAUAUGAGAAGAUAAUGACGGUAUCAUAUGAAUAAGCACCGGCUAACUCCGUGCCAGCAGCCGCGGUAAUACGGAGGGUGCAAGCGUUAUUCGGAAUCACUGGGCGUAAAGGGUGCGUAGGCGGUUUGGAAAGUCAGAUGUGAAAUCCUACAGCUUAACUGUAGAACUGCAUUUGAAACUUCCAGACUAGAAUACUGAAGGGGCAGAUGGAAUUAGUGGUGUAGGGGUAAAAUCCGUAGAUAUCACUAGGAAUACCGAAAGCGAAAGCGAUCUGCUGGGAAGUUAUUGACGCUGAGGCACGAAAGCGUGGGGAGCAAACGGGAUUAGAUACCCCGGUAGUCCACGCCCUAAACGAUGAAUGCUAGUCGUCGGAAAGCUCGUCUUUUCGGUGAUGCAGUUAACACAUUAA
rnacentral:rRNA from 1 species